ensembl:lncRNA
CAAAUUGAGUGUUUCACCUUCUGUUUUCAAUGUUUGGUCAUACAGAGUUGUAUUGGUCGACUGAGAAGCACUGAUGUAGUGUGACGUUCAACUCGCUGUCUAAAAGAGAAAACUGUUGCAUGAUUUUAAACUUGCAAGGCGUGCAGAUCAUCUACUUUUUUUGAUGUCUUUUAGGAAAUUUGAAACCUAGAUUUACCCCAGAAUUUAAUUAUUAGUAAAACUUUUUCCAGAUUUAAGUUUAGUGAUUGUCACUCUGCUUGUCGAGUCCUACAUCCGAAGUACACAACUAAUAUAUUGCUGACUGUUUCAACUGGAAACUAGAUAUUAGUUGUAAGCUGAGACUCGUGGUUUAAGCCCAAUGGGAUAUCUGUUGUAAGCUGCUUGGUCGGACAUCUAGAUACGGAGAACUGCGUAAUUGUACAGAUGAAAAACACGUUUGUAUAAAAAAAAAAACUAUUUUUUUACUUCAUCAGAUCUUUACAUGCAUGUCAGCAAUAAACUUUGAUAUGGAAACAUUCCUCUUCGUCUUCAUGCUCUGACACUUCCUCUCGCUUCCAGCAGAUGGAGCCCUUCCUUCAAAGAUGAACCGGAGAGCAGCAGUUUCACUGGCUGUCAUGGCCACAGGUCUCAAAACAGAGCGCGGUCCCCAGAUGUGCUACAAGGAGGAAAAACAUCUGCUAAAGGGAGACGUCCUGGGACGUCCGUGCAUUCUGUCUCCGGCCCGUUUGCAUUUGAGGUGCUACAGAAGGGUUGUGAGUCCCCCGUCUCCUCUUCCCUCCGAUGCCACCGAACGUCUCCCUCCGUCUUUCAUCACCUCCUCGAGUCGCAAGGUCACAAGAAGGAGCCAUGUGCCUUUUUUUCUCGAACUGUCCUCUAACUCUCUAACAUCUGGCCCGAGAGGGAGGAGGGUGACCCUGUCAAUGGGAGCCCUUGUCCCCCCUCCGACCCCCCCCCCCCUCCCG